AAGUCCCGUAACGAGCGCAACCCUUGUCAUUAGUUGCUACAUUCAGUUGGGCACUCUAAUGAGACUGCCGGUGACAAACCGGAGGAAGGUGGGGAUGACGUCAAGUCCUCAUGGCCCUUAUGGGUAGGGCUUCACACGUAAUACAAUGGCGCGUACAGAGGGUUGCCAAGGAGCGAUCUGGAGCCAAUCCCGAAAAGCGCGUCGUAGUCCGGAUUGCAGUCUGCAACUCGACUGCAUGAAGUCGGAAUCGCUAGUAAUCGCGGAUCAGCAUGUCGCGGUGAAUACGUUCCCGGGUCUCGUACACACCGCCCGU
rnacentral:rRNA from 1 species